rfam:Sinorhizobium meliloti 1021 complete chromosome
CCUUGUCGAAGCGCUGUACCUCCUCCCACGGCGCCCGGCAUUCGGUCGGUUCACUCCUCCUCCCAGAACCGAUCAAGUUUAAGACCCCGAGCCACCUCCUCCCGGCUCGGGGUCUUUCU